ACCAGCAGCUAUAUCAUCCUGGAACUCACAAAUGCCAACCCGCUGAAGCUAAACAGGUUUAAGCCAGGCCAGUACCUGGAUGGGAUACAUCCUGGAAAAAUCUGAGGUUGCUGCUGGAA
rnacentral:rRNA from 1 species